AACGAACGCUGGCGGCAGGCCUAACACAUGCAAGUCGAACGCGAAGCCACCUUCGGGUGGUGGAAAGUGGCAGACGGGUGAGUAACGCGUGGGAAUCUACCCAGUGGUACGGAAUAACCCAGGGAAACUUGGGCUAAUACCGUAUGUGCCCGAAAGGGGAAAGAUUUAUCGCCAUUGGAUGAGUCCGCGUCUGAUUAGCUAGUUGGUGGGGUAAUGGCCCACCAAGGCGACGAUCAGUAGCUGGUCUGAGAGGAUGAUCAGCCACACUGGGACUGAGACACGGCCCAGACUCCUACGGGAGGCAGCAGUGGGGAAUAUUGGACAAUGGGCGAAAGCCUGAUCCAGCCAUGCCGCGUGAGUGAUGAAGGCCCUAGGGUUGUAAAGCUCUUUCGGCGGGGACGAUAAUGACGGUACCCGCAGAAGAAGCCCCGGCUAACUUCGUGCCAGCAGCCGCCGCAGUAA
rnacentral:rRNA from 1 species